rnacentral:rRNA from 1 species
UACAGAGGGUGCAAGCGUUGUUCGGAAUUAUUGGGCGUAAAGGGAGUGUAGGCGGUCCAUUAAGUCUUCUGUGAAAUCUACGGGCUUAGCCUGUAACGUGCAGAGGAAACUGGUGGACUUGAGUGUCGGAGAGGAUAGGGGAAUACCCGGUGUAGAGGUGAAAUUCGUAGAGAUCGGGUGGAACACCAGUGGCGAAGGCGCCUAUCUGGCUGACAACUGACGCUGAGACUCGAAAGCGUGGGGAGCAAACAGG